AUGCACCUUGCGGAUCCUGAAGCCGGUCAGGUAACGAGGAGCAGAGGUGUGGGGAAGACCUGGAGGGAGGCCUUACUGGGUGCCAACCAGCCUAACCAGCCGAGGCUACAGACCAGAAGUGCUUCUGACAUUAACCGGACACAGGGAAGGUGUGUAGGAUGGGUAGUGAAGUGACUGCAGAGGCCUCUGGGGAUUGUAGUUUUGGAGCUAGAGAGGCGGGAAAGCAGUUGGUUUUGCCCACACAGGGUGCCUCUGACAGCUGCACAGCACACACAACCAAGUUUAGGAGCCCACUGUUAAGAUGCCCAAGUGACAUUGACAAGUUUUGCUGGGAACCAAUGAGGUCUGCUGACCACAAGAGCAUCGCGGUAAUGCUGAAAGAUUCUGGAAAAUGUGGUCCAGGUUGGCCAGUAUGCACUGACCUUCCCCUGAAGGUGCAGCUUGGAGGAAACUUCUGGAGGGUGGGGUGGUGCUGAAGAGGAGGCAACAUUGUUACCGUUUUGUUCAACAUGGGUGUUUUCUUUAUGCAUCAAUUUGUAUUUUUAAAGAUAUUACAUUAAAAUUUUGUUUAUCU